AAAGAGAGAUUGGGGAGUGAUUGGUAAUUAACAUGGCGUUUCUUUUUAGGGUAAUAAAAUAUUCUGGAACCCGGCAUUUUGGGGGGAGGGUAAUAAGAUAUUCUGGAAUUAGAUAUUGAUGAUGUUUGCACAUGUCCAUGGAUAUACUAGGAAAUAUUGAAUUGUGCUCUUUAUUUGAAAAAGAUAAUUUUACUGUAUGUGAUUUAUAUCUCAAUAAAUCUGUUAUUUAUAAAAUAUGCUAAGGGGAAAAUCAGAGUUACUGGACUCCUCUGAGUUAGGUUCACCUUACUCAUUUCUGAGCAAUAGACAAGAGUGCAAAUAGACGUCCGUAUGCCACAAGUCAAAUGUUUUAAAAUUGUGAAUCAAGCAAUCACAGUCUUAAAUGUGUUUUAUUCCCUUGCACUGACAAAUACAUCUUCAUCCAGGAACAGUUCUAUACUGUUGGCUAUGGGAAAUGAGCAAGGGCUUUAAGAAGAACAAAGAUGUGAUAGUAUCAUUAUUUCUGAAACAGCUUGUUGGUGGCCCUGUCAAGGUGUAGGUAGAGGAAAGCCUGGGGAUGGUAGCAGUAAGUAAGCAGUGGUGAUCACCCUCCCCAGAAUUGAGGUGGACACAAACCAAUAUCAUAGUAUGGAGAUAGUUUGGCAGAUAGAUCAGGCACGCUAAAACUGGGUCAGCAGAGAUAGAUAGAUGUAGAAGGAGGAAGAGAUGUGAGAAAGGAGAAAGAGGUGGCUGACCUUUAGAACUUCACUGACUCAGGCUGGUGACAUCAUUAACUAAGAGAUAAAAGAAGAAGUAGGUUUCUUCUUUUAUCAGGUGGGAGUAGAGGAACUUUGAGAGCUGGGCUUUGGGUAUGUGAGGCUGAGCUAUGUGUAGGAUAUUAGGUGGAAAUUACCAAUUAGUAUUGAGAAGCACAUGCUUGGAGUAUAGAAAAGGGGUCUGAGUUAGUAAAAUGAUUUAGAAGUCCCUGGAAUCGUCAGAGUCCCAGGGGGGAUUAAGAACCAAAUGGAACGAAACACAACAGACCAGUACCAUUAAUAAUUAGACUCUGAAAUGUUCCUACUUAAACAAAAGACAAAGAUAACACCAUUUGCAAGAAACUGUCAUGAUGUGUAGUAGAGUCUUCAUGGUGAGCUUGAUGCUUUUGGUUAGAAAAUGGUGAAUAUAGGGCAACUGGAUGGCUCAGUGGUUGAGUGUCUGCCUUCAGCUCAGGUCAUGAUCCCGGGGUCCUGGGAUUGAGUUCUGCUCCAAGUAAGGAGCCGGCUUCUCCCUCUACCUAUGUCUCUGCCUCUCUCUGUGUGUUUCUCAUGAAUUAAGCAAACAAAAUCUUACAAAAAAAGAAAAUGGUUAUUAUAAUAUGAUCCAUAACCAGUAACAGGUGGGAAGAACAAAUAAAAUCAGCCAAAUUAUAAUGGAAAAGACAUAGAACUGAAUUUUUCAUUUAUAUAUAAAUUAUAGCUUAUAUUUAAAAAUAUACAUACAACAAAAAUAUAUUACUGGUGAAGUUUUGCUUCUUAGGAUUCUUUUGCUGUGAUAACCUGUGUUUGAAAGAAGAAAAAUAGGCUGUUAAUUCUUAAUUGCCUUAACUGGCUGAUGAUGCUAGUUAAUGUUGUUAUUAGAUUUAUACCUGAAAGUACUUCAGAACCAUUAAUUAGACAUUUCUUAUCAGCUCUCUGCAUUAGACAUUACCAGCCUGCUUGCUGCUGCCAUUCCCCCACGUGCUAUAAUUUAUGCCAGAUGGUGUGACUUGUUCACUGGGAAAAGUACUUCAAACCGAGAACCUGCUGGUUUUUGGUUAUUGGAAGAGCAUUGAUUUGAGUUUGGUGUUGCAAAGUGUUUCAUUUGUUUACUUGCCAAAUGAGUAAAAUAUGCAUGUUUUCACUGGCUUAAAUUUCUGUCUAAAACACUUUUCUGUACUUUGAUUGGCAAAGCACAGAACUGUUACUCUAUCCUGUCAUCCAGGUCUGGCUUCAGGAGUCCCUACUCUCACCUCCUCACCGGGAAGAGGCUGUGUUGUUUCUUUGGAUUCGUUGGCAUUUGUGCAUUUCUAAGAGAGACAGGUAUCUUCACAAUAAGUGAUUGGACUUAGUUGGAGGAAUAUGGAAAGGUUGGAAGUUGAAUGUGUUAAUCAGGUUUCUUAUUAUCAAUAAGCAGCAAUCAUGUAAUUUCAGUGAGCUGUGAAGGUGAUAGGUUUAGGCCAUAUUCUAAAAGAAAUAAAGAUUAUAUGCCUCUCCGUUUCAGUUCUACCAAAAUGUCCAUGUCCUCCUCUUCUUUCCUGGCUUUUAGAAAUCCUAUAGCAGGACGGACUGUCACCUGCCUCUGUGAUUUACAAGUCAUGCUCUUUUAUGUCUGGAUCUGCAUCCUAUUGUAAUGCUCUGAUUGGAUUUGAAACGGGUUGCUCUGAGGUAGGUUUUCUCAUAAUCUGAUGGUGGGAGUAAAAAUUGGCAUGACUUUUAUGGAAAGCCUUUUAGCAACAUGUGUUAGAGUAUUUUAAUCUAUUCUAAUUUUAUCUGUUCAAUAGAAAUAAUAUGCGGUGUGGACAAAUACCUACUUAUAAAAAUAUUCAUUACUAUAUUUAUAGUAAUAAAAUAUGGAAAACAACUAUCUAUCAAUAGAAGAGUGAUCAAAUACAUCAUGGAAUAGAGAGAGCUCUUGUAAAUCAACAAGAAAAAGAUGAUGUCCCCGAAUAGAAAAUGGUUAAUGGAAAUGAAAUGCAGUUCACCAAAAAGAAAUGCAAAUGGCUAAGAAGCAUUUGAACAGAUGUUCAUUCUCAUUAGGAAUCAAAGGAUACAAAUGAAAAUAAUGAUAUAUUAUUUUAACUAUUAGGAAAGAUGAAACUGUUCCAUUGAUGAGGAGGUAGAAAUCAGGCAUUCUCAUUUACUCUUCAUUGGAGUGUAAUUGGCACAAAUGUGGAGGGGGAGAAAUUUGAAUGGGAGAGAGCAUACUUUUGACUCAGCAGUGCACUUCUAAGAUUGUAUUUUAAAAAUAAUCAACAAGUCUACAAAGGACAUGUAUAGGAUAUUUACCAGUUACACUCAUGCUAGUGAAAACUGAGAAUAAUCCAAAACCCAUUAGUAGGUGAUUGUUAAAUACAUGAUAGUACAACCACAUGAGGGAAUACUAUAUAGCCAUUAAAAACUAAUGUAGAUCAAGGGGUGCCUGGGUGCCUGACUCUGAGUCUGUUAAGCCACCAACUCUUGAUUUCAGCUCAGGUCAUGAUCUUGGGUUGGUGGGCUCAAGCCCCACGUCAGGCUCCAUGGUGGGUUUGGAGUCUGCUUGAGAUUCUCUGCCUCUCUCUCUCUCUCACUCUGCCCCUCCCCCAGCUUGUGCAUGUACACACAC
rnacentral:lncRNA from 1 species